rnacentral:lncRNA from 1 species
CAUUGCAUUCGUGUAGAGCUGCACCUCGCCGACGGCUUCUACGAGCUUCACCCGGCACCAGAAGAGGAAGCUGUAGCUGAGCUCCUGCCCUCCGAAGUCGAAGUCGCCCCCGAAGUCGAGCAGUUUCCGUCCUCCUUGCUUGAAGGCAAGCCCCGGUUGCAUGAAAGUCCUAUGUGUUUUACCAGACUUGCGCAUGCCUUCUGUAACAUGCUUGUGCAUUUACGUAUAGGAGUUGUUUGAAACCCUAGAUGCAUGACCUAGU